rnacentral:rRNA from 1 species
GUCGAACGGUAACAGGAAGAAGCUUGCUUCUUUGCUGACGAGUGGCGGACGGGUGAGUAAUGUCUGGGAAACUGCCUGAUGGAGGGGGAUAACUACUGGAAACGGUAGCUAAUACCGCAUAACGUCGCAAGACCAAAGAGGGGGACCUUCGGGCCUCUUGCCAUCGGAUGUGCCCAGAUGGGAUUAGCUAGUAGGUGGGGUAACGGCUCACCUAGGCGACGAUCCCUAGCUG